rnacentral:lncRNA from 1 species
GAAAUUUCUGGAAUUUCGUGUGAAAGAUUGGUUGCUAGCUGAGGUAAUUUCUGGUCUAAAAUAGGUUGAUUAUUAGUUGAUCAAGCUAUAUCAGAGAUUACAUGUUUAGAUUAUACAAUCGGAUGCUGAAAUCAAAACCUUAGGAAAAUUUCUGUUUUGAGAAAUUGUUGCUACCGAGACUUGAGGUGUUAUUGCAGCUCCAAUUUUGUUUUGUGUGAUAAUCUGAACACCCAAAUGUCUUUAGCUGAGUAAGAACUGGAAGAUUAAGACCAUGUAUGAUGAAUUGGGCAUUCGAAUGAAGUGUUAAAGCAGAGAUAAAUUUCUGGGUUAGUUUGGGGUAAGAAAAUUCUGCCGAGAGCCUAGCUUAAUUAUUACAGCUUAACUUGGUUCAAUUUGGUUGCUAUCAAACUGAUUUCUGGUCUGGAUAUGAUAGCUAGUUAAAUUCAGCAGUUGUGCAUGUGAAAUUAAGUGCAAAAUACAGGAAUUAAC